GAUUUUUGGACUUUGAGCGCCGCUGCUCAUUUUCUUCUUCUUCUUCAUUUUUACGUUCUAUCUUCCUCUUCUUGAUUUCUCAGUUGAAAACAAGACACACACAAUUACAUAAAAGGAAAAGGGACGGAAAAAAAACAAGAAAAGGAAAACAGAGCCAAAAGAAAUCUAGUAGCUCUUCAUCUUCAAUCGCCGCUGCUCUUUCUAUUUUAGCGAAGAACGCACCAAAUAGUUCUGUCGUUCAUAUUUCCGGCGAGUUUGGAGGACCAUUGAUUUCGUUCGAGUUUGAGUGCUAUUUCGAAUUUCGCGUGUAGUGCGCCCUUCCGUCUAGAAUAAAAAAUAGAUUUUGGAAAUUAAAAGAAGAAUUCAGGUUCAAAUUGUUGUUAGAUUCCAUUGAUGUUGCUGUUUGGAUAAAAUUUUGCUGAGCUCCGUCGAUUUGGCUCGUCCGUGAUUUCUAAUUUUGUGACCGAGUCGGAGGGUCAAGGCUCACUAAGGCAAACCUGGAAGUGUAAUCUAAUUUGUUGUUUCUUUUGGAUUUAUUUUGCUUGUGUAUCACUUGAUAUGCACUGAGGCUAUGUGCAUGCCAUUUAUUUUGAAUAAAUUUCUUAUAUCCGUGUAUUUUAUAUAGUGAGAAUCCUUACAAAAGCUAGGGUCCAAAAAUGGACUAUCAAUA